GACGAACGCUGGCGGCGUGCUUAACACAUGCAAGUCGAACGGAAAGGCCCUGCUUUUGUGGGGUGCUCGAGUGGCGAACGGGUGAGUAACACGUGAGUAACCUGCCCUUGACUUUGGGAUAACUUCAGGAAACUGGGGCUAAUACCGGAUAGGAGCUCCUGCUGCAUGGUGGGGGUUGGAAAGUUUCGGCGGUUGGGGAUGGACUCGCGGCUUAUCAGCUUGUUGGUGGGGUAGUGGCUUACCAAGGCUUUGACGGGUAGCCGGCCUGAGAGGGUGACCGGCCACAUUGGGACUGAGAUACGGCCCAGACUCCUACGGGAGGCAGCGGUGGGGAAUAUUGCACAAUGGGCGGAAGCCUGAUGCAGCAACGCCGCGUGCGGGAUGACGGCCUUCAGGUUGUAAACCGCUUUCGCCUGUGACGAAGCGUGAGUGACGGUAAUGGGUAAAGAAGCACCGGCUAACUACGUG
rnacentral:rRNA from 1 species